UCCGGUCUUAUCACGUAGAAACGCCGUUUCCCGUCCGAUCAUCGAAGUUAAGAAACGCCGAACCUGGUCAGUACCUAAAUAGUUGAACGCCUGGGAAUAUCAGAUGU